rnacentral:rRNA from 1 species
AGAGUUUGAUCCUGGCUCAGGAUGAACGCUAGCGGCAGGCCUAACACAUGCAAGUCGAGGGGCAGCGCGGUGCAGCAAUGCGCUGGCGGCGACCGGCGUACGGGUGCGUAACGCGUAUGCAACCUGCCCCGCACCGGGGGAUAGCCCGCCGAAAGGCGGAUUAAUACCCCAUGGCCCCGGGGGCCCGCAUGGGCAUCCGGGUAAAGCUCCGGCGGUGCGGGAUGGGCAUGCGUGCCAUUAGCUGGCUGGUGGGGUAACGGCCCACCAGGGCAACGAUGGCUAGGGGGUCUGAGAGGAUGGUCCCCCACACUGGUACUGAGACACGGACCAGACUCCUACGGGAGGCAGCAGUGAGGAAUAUUGGUCAAUGGGCGGAAGCCUGAACCAGCCAUGCCGCGUGCGGGAUGAAGGCCCUACGGGUUGUAAACCGCUUUUCCCCGGGAAGAAUAACCCCGACGCGUCGGGGGAUGCCGGUACCGGGGGAAUAAGGAUCGGCUAACUCCGUGCCAGCAGCCGCGGUAAUACGGAGGAUCCGAGCGUUAUCCGGAUUUACUGGGUGUAAAGCGCGUGCAGGCGGUUCGGUAAGUUGGAUGUGAAAGCUCCUGGCUUAACUGGGAGAGGUCGUUCAAUACUGCCGGGCUAGAGGAUGGGAGAGGGAGGUGGAAUUCCGGGUGUAGUGGUGAAAUGCGUAGAUAUCCGGAGGAACACCAGUGGCGAAGGCGGCCUCCUGGCCCAUUUCUGACGCUCAGACGCGAAAGCUAGGGGAGCGAACGGGAUUAGAGACCCCGGUAGUCCUAGCCGUAAACGAUGUGAACUUGGCGUCGGCGGGUUUAAAUCCGUCGGUGCCGCAGCUAACGCGAUAAGUUCACCACCUGAGUACCACGGCCGCAAGGUUAAAACUCAAAGGAAUUGACGGGUCCCCGCACAAGCAGCGGAGCGUGUGGUUUAAUUCGUUGCUACACGAAGAACCUUACCAGGGUUUGACAUACAGGUGGUAGUGAAGCGAAAGCAGAACGACCCUUCGGGGAGCCUGUACAGGUGUUGCAUGGCUGUCGUCAGCUCGUGUCGUGAGAUGUUCGGUUAAGUCCGCUAACGAGCGCAACCC